rnacentral:tRNA from 1 species
GGGGCUGUAGCUUAGCUGGGAAAGCGCCGCACUGCUUGCAGUGCGGAGACAGAGGUUCGAAUCCUUUCGGCUCCA